CCUAACAUGGCUCAGGGAAACGUAUAUUCGAAAAAAUUAUUUAUCACCCACUAUUAUUUGCCACCCAUACCCGUGACCCGCGGAUACCCGCCACCCGUUGGGUAUCCACCACCCGCUACCCGUCGGAUACCCGUCACCCACUACUCGUCGGAUACUCGCCGAGAUUUGAAAGGUAGGGGCACUGCUGCUUCUCUGCAUUGACAUCUUGCAAUCAACCACCCAACAAAUAAAUCACCACGAAACUGUAGCAAAUUUUAGAGAAAAUUUCAAAUUCUUGUGCACUACUAUUUGUCACCCAUACCCAUGACCCGCGGAUACCCGUCACCCGUAGAGUAUCCACCAAUCUCCUAUUCGUCGGAUACCCGCCAUCCGCUACCCAUCGAAUACCCGUCAAGGCUUGAGAGGGAGGGGCAUUGCUGCUUCUCGGCGUUGCAUCCUGCAAUUAACCACCCAACAAAUCAAUAAAUCACCCAACAAAUAAAUCACCAUGAGACUUGAU
rnacentral:lncRNA from 1 species